rnacentral:ncRNA from 1 species
UAAAGUUUUGGUCCUAAACUUGCCAUUGUUUUUUAUCAAAAUUAUACAUGCAAGCCUCCGCAUACCAGUGAGAAUGCCCACUUUCCCCCCCCCCCCGGAGACCGGAGCAGGCAUCAGGAUCGGACAAACCCGGCCAAAAACGCCUUGCUAACGCCACACCCCCACGGGCCUUACAGCAGUAAUUAACAUUAAUAUAUGAGCAAAAGCUCGACUUAGUUAUGAUUAAUAUGGCCGGUAAAUUUCGUGCCAGCCACCGCGGUUACACGAAAGACCAAAAACAAUGACCCACGGCGUAAAGCGUGACCCAAGAUCGGUCUUUAACCUUAAAGAGAAACGGCUGCCAAGUUGUAAAACACUACUGCACGCCAGAACAACACCAAUAAUAUGCCUUUAACCCAUAGACAACUUAACCUCACGAAAGCUAAGAAACAAACUGGGAUUAGAUACCCCACUAUGCUUGGCCCUAAACACAGAUAUGCCCACCACAACAUUAUCCGCCAGAGGACUACAAGCGAAAAGCUUAAAACUCCAAGGACUUGGCGGUGCUUCAAACCAACCUAGAGGAGCCUGUCCUAUAAUCGAUACCCCGCGUUCUACCUUACCGCCCCUAGACAGCCAGCCUAUAUACCGCCGUCGUAAGCCUACCCUGUGAAAGAACCAAAGUAGGCAAAACAGUUAGUAACUAAUACGUCAGGUCAAGGUGUAGCACACGGGACGGCAGAGAUGGCCUACAUUCUUAACACAUAAACACACGAACGGCACACUGAAACACAUGCCCGAAGGCGGAUUUAGUAGUAAGAUAAACAAGAAGACUUAUCUUAAACCUGCUCUGAAGCGCGCACACACCGCCCGUCACCCUCAUCACACAGACCAAACACUACAAAAUAUACACCCCAAUAUUGCUCAGAUGAGGCAAGUCGUAACACGGUAAGCGCACUGGAAAGUGUGCUUGGAAUAA